GAGGGUACAGCUCAGUGGUAGAGUGCGUGCUUAGCAUGCAUGAGGUCCUGGGUUCAAUCCUCAGUACCUCCA
rnacentral:tRNA from 1 species